rnacentral:lncRNA from 1 species
GUAAAUUAUAGGGUUAAAUUGUCCUUUAAACCUUUUCUUAAUUCCUAUUAAUUUGGAGCAUUUUGACGAUUAAUGAUGUGAAGCUAGAAUAGGUUCAAAGAAAAAGUCUCCAAUACAAAUUUUAAGAUCAAAUAAUUAAUUUUGAGGUAGGAAAUUAUAAUUGAUUUUGUGUUUGUUCUUCUCAUUUUAUGAAUGUAAUUUUGGUCUUCACUGUGCAGACUUAUAACUAUAUAUUAUAAUUAUGACUUCUUUCUUAGAAAAACGUUUGGAGGUAAAAUGUCCAAAAAAUAAAUUCAUUAACUAAUCACACCCAUAUCGUUAAUCGAUAUUGCCGUAAGGACGAGUAGCAACGUUUGUAUUUGUUAUGAAAAUGUCCUAUUCCAUAAAACCUAGUCAUAUGGAACAAUCUUUGCUAAAUGGCUCCGCCACCGAUAUUUAAUAGUGACCUCAUUAUCAAUCAAUCCAUUGCCAAUCAACACGGCAUUACUUCGCUAAUAGCAAAUAUAUUUUGUUGUCAGCUGUAAAUUCACUCAUCUCACUUGAUGAGUGAAUUUAUGACAUGAGUGAAAAUGUUUCAUUAAAAGGGAGAAUUCAUGAAGGAUGCUGAGUUGGUUAUAGUAUAGCAUUCAAUCCUUCUAGUGGACAAAAAUAUUGUCGCAAGGACCACUACUUUGUACAGAUAUUUGUCACAUGGUUUGUAACUUUGGACUAGACUAAGGAUCAGCAAACAGCACCUCUGAGGCUGCAUGUGGUUCUGGUCAAGGCUCCAAUGCACAUCUCAAAAUCCCCAAAGGAUGACUAAGAUGAAAGCCAAUAGCAUUUUUUGUUAGCUACAUAUAUAAUUAGAAUUUAAUUGUAACUUUUUAAUUCAUUUGAAAUAUAUCUUUUACUUGG